UGGCUCACGAAUUCGCAAUAACGGAUACGUAUAGCAGUUCGUGUUAAUGACAUUAAUCCAAACUUAUUGAUGACGUGAUAACAUGGGCGUCGAAUCCAAUAUUAAUCAUGCUGAGGUUUUCUCGACGGGGUAAUGUGUAUAAAUGCAGUUAUAAAAUUAAAAGGGACAAGAUAGUCGACGUGACCCUCAUGUUUCCAUGGCAAUCAGUCAAUUACGCUUAUGACGCUCACCUGCGGUCAUUCGCGCAGUAUCCAUGAUUUUAAGCGGCAUGAAACACUUAAGUUAACUCCUUUGUACGAAAAUAUCAUGUCGUAGCCCUUCAAAUUAGAAUAGUGAUGAUGAUCUUGUCAAUGCUGAGAUUUUCAUGCAUCAACAGCCACUACAUCUGGAUCAGAUUGAACAAGAAACGGACAGCAAGGGUUGUCAGGUCAGAAACAGAAUGACACACAAACACAAGAAACUUCACAGGCAGAUCAACAUGCAAUUUGAAGAUGUGUGAUAAAAUACAGAGAGGUGAAGUAGUGUGUCUUUGCAGAUCCCCAAAUCAU